CCCUGUGUAUACCUAACAAUGUAUAAGAUUUAUGCAUCAGCACUUCUUUUCGCUGACGUGCAUAGUCUCACGUCAUACUUAAAACUUGUAUCUGUCAUUCAUUUAUUAGGCUUUUCUCUACCUACUGCAAGCUGCAACUUGGCUCUGAUUGACCAAACACCGCCUGUUUGUCAUUUAUGAGCCCAUUAGAUCCAGAACUUUGGAAUAAAGAAAUGAAUUGAACGUGAAGGUUCCCUCUUGGAAGCUGCCAGGAAGCAAGGAUAAAGGCAAUGACCAGGAAGCCAUGCAAAGUGUACUUCUGUGACUUCUCAUAUUUCUUCACUAUAUAAAUAUAAACUAACACAAGUGUCUAUCCAUAUGCUUCUUAGCAAUAUAGAAAUCACUUCUUCUUCCUUCUUUUCUUCUCAUUUCCAGUGUCCAAAUCCAUGACUAUAGUAGAGAUGUGGACUCACCUAGGCUCAGCAAUUGCUGGCCUAAUGUUUGCUUGGGCUAUAUUUCAGCAGUACUUCCCACAUCAAAUUCGGGACCAUUUUAGCAGGUAUGGUCAGAAAUUGCUGGGUCUUGUCUACCCUUAUCUCCAAAUUACCUUCCAUGAAUACACCGGAGAACGUCUCAAGCGCAGCGAGGUUUACUCCGCCAUUCAAAACUACCUCAGCGCCAACUCUUCCACGAAUGCCAAGAAGCUCAAAGCUGAUGUUGUUAAAGAUAACCAUUCUGUGGUUCUCACCAUGGAUGAUCAUGAGGAAGUUACUGACGACUUCAAUGGGAUUAAGAUCUGGUGGUCUUCAAACAAAAUAACCCCCCAAACCCAGACUUUUUCUUUCUAUCCUGCCCCUGAGGGUAAGAGGUAUUUCAAGCUCACAGUGCAUAGACGUCACAGAGAUGUUAUCACCAACUCUUAUAUAGAUCAUGUUAUCAAAAAAGGAAAGGAAAUUGCAGUCAAGAAUCGGCAGAGAAAACUCUACACCAACAAUACCAGCGAUCAAUGGUACGGAUGGAAAGCUACCAAGUGGAGCCAUGUGAUGUUUGAGCACCCUGCAAGUUUCGAUACUCUGGCUAUGGCGACAAAAGAGAAGGAAGGAAUCAAGAAGGAUCUUAAGAAAUUUAGCCAGAGUAAGGACUACUACGCUAAGAUCGGCAAGCCCUGGAAGCGUGGUUAUCUCCUUUAUGGUCCUCCUGGUACUGGGAAAUCAACUAUGAUAGCUGCCAUGGCUAAUUUGUUGAAUUAUGAUGUCUACGAUCUUGAGUUGACCACAGUCAAGGACAACAGUGAGCUCAGGAAGCUAUUGAUCGAGACGACGAGCAAGUCUAUCAUCGUGAUUGAAGACAUAGACUGCUCACUGGAUCUUACCGGUCAGAGAAAGCCAAAGAAGGAGAAAGAGGAAGACGAAGAAGAAGGGAAAGAUCCAAUUUCCAAGAAGAAAAAGGAGGAAGAAGCAGAAAGAAACAAAAGCAGUAAGGUAACUUUAUCUGGGCUACUGAAUUUUAUUGAUGGAAUUUGGUCAGCUUGUGGAGGAGAAAGAAUAAUUGUUUUCACUACAAAUUAUGUGGAAAAGCUUGAUCCUGCUUUAAUCAGAAGGGGAAGGAUGGAUAAGCAUAUAGAAAUGUCUUAUUGUUGCUUUGAAGCAUUCAAAGUUCUGGCAAAAAAUUAUUUAGAUAUCGAAUCCCAUCAACUGUUUGCAACAAUUCAAAACUUGUUGGAGGAAACCAAGAUGACACCAGCUGAUGUAGCUGAGAAUUUGAUGCCAAAGUCAGAUGAUGAAGACGGAGAGACUUGCCUGAAGAAGUUGAUUGCUGCUCUUGAGGAGACAAAAGAGGAAGAAGCAAGAAAGAAGUCUGAGGAAGAAGCAAAAUUGAAAUCGGAGCAAGAAGCGAAAGAACAAGAACAACCAGCUAAAGAAGAUGAGAAGGUUAAGGACAAUGACACAUCUAAAGAAAUUAAAGAGAAUGAUUUGAUCUCAAAUGGGAAGGAAAACAAUUCCAUAUGAAUCUACCAACCAGAUAGAUAUUCAUAAUUGCAGAAGGUAGAUGCAUAAUUGGGUGGUAAUAAAUAAGUUGUUGUAUUCAUAUCUGCUUAUGAUUUCAAAAUUUCCAUGGAGUACCCUGGCCUGGCGUGGCUUGUAAGAGGAACAGUCUAGUUUUAUCUUGCUUUCUUAUUCUUCUAAAAAAAUAAAAUAAAAUAAAAUGAUCUACCUACCUGGUUGAUAUCUUGCAUGCAAAGAUUGAUUAGAUGUUGGUCCUCACUUUGGUAGGUCAUUAGUCUUUCUCAUUGUUGGUUAGUGGUUAUGUUCCUUGUUAUACUCAUUCCUUAUUGAUGGUACUCACAUGCACAUGCAUGCGUAUGGUUGCAAAUGCGCACACUCACAAUUUUAUACAUCUAGAUAAAUGGCCAAUUUGCUUCAUGCCCCUAGAAUAAAGAUGACAAUUACAUGUAUUGUGAAGUGUACUGUUCAAUAAAUAUGUAUUGAUCUUUUUAAUGAAUAU
rnacentral:misc_RNA from 1 species